rnacentral:rRNA from 1 species
UACGUAGGCACCAAGCGUUGUUCGGAAUUACUGGGCGUAAAGCGAGUGUAGGCGGUUUGCCAAGUCGGUUGUGAAAUCUCCCGGCUUAACUGGGAGGGUGCGACUGAAACUGGCAGGCUGGAGUGCGGGAGAGGAGAGUGGAAUUCCUGGUGUAGCGGUGAAAUGCGUAGAUAUCAGGAGGAACACCGGUGGUGAAGACGGCUCUCUGGACCGCUACUGACGCUGAGACUCGAAAGCGUGGGGAGCAAACAGG